rnacentral:piRNA from 1 species
UCACUUUGUGAAGGUUUGUAAGUAGC